rnacentral:rRNA from 1 species
CUACGGGUCGCUCCAGUGAGGAAUAUUGCACAAUGGGGGGAACCCUGAUGCAGCAACGCUGCGUGGAGGAUGACGCAUUUCGGUGUGUAAACUCCUUUUAUAUGUCAAGAAAAUGACGGUAGCAUAUGAAUAAGCACCGGCUAACUCCGUGCCAGCAGCCGCGGUAAUACGGAGGGUGCAAGCGUUACUCGGAAUCACUGGGCGUAAAGGACGCGUAGGCGGGCUUGUAAGUCAGGUGUGAAAUCCUACAGCUUAACUGUAGAACUGCACUUGAAACUUCUAAUCUAGAGUAUGGGAGGGGGAGAUGGAAUUAGUGGUGUAGGGGUAAAAUCCGUAGAUAUCACUAGGAAUACCUAAAGCGAAGGCGAUCUCCUGGAACAUUACUGACGCUAAGGCGUGAAAGCGUGGGGAGCAAACAGGAUUAGAUACCCCGGUAGUC